rnacentral:rRNA from 1 species
UUUGAUGAAGUUUUCGGAUGGAUUUAAACAGCUUAGUGGCGGACGGGUGAGUAACGCGUGGGUAACCUGCCUCACACUGGGGGAUAACAGUUAGAAAUGACUGCUAAUACCGCAUAAAACAGCAGAGUCGCAUGACUCAACUGUCAAAGAUUUAUCGGUGUAAGAUGGACCCGCGUCUGAUUAGCUAGUUGGUGAGGUAACGGCCCACCGUGGCUUCGACGGGUAGCCGGACUGAGAGGUUGAACGGCCACAUUGGGACUGAGAUACGGCCCAGACUCC